rnacentral:lncRNA from 1 species
UUUUUUGUUGUGUUUUUGUUGUUAUAUUUAUGAUUAUGAUACUCCUAAGAAGAUAGCCUCUUUGUUACAGUUGGCUCCCGAAGGACUUCUUUAUUUUUAGAGGCGGCCAAAUUUGUGUCAUUUCAUAUGAGUACAUGCCAUUACAAAAUGGUUGGGAAAUUUGUUCCAAUGAAUCAUCAUCCGAAGACUCUUUACAUUUCAGUCUUUGUUUGAUUUGAUAGUUAGCCUCUACUUUUGUCAGAUCCUUUGAGUUUUCAUCUGUGGAUGUUACAGUGGAGAUGGCCUAUAAAUGUAGGUUAGCUUUGGAACAUGUGUUAGGCAUACUAGGUUCACAUACUUUGCAUUCUGUUUAGUGAUAAAACAUGUAAUUUCUUUCCUGCGUAUAACACAUAAUCUCCAAAUGGCUACUGUUGUAUUUCAUCUGGUGAUCUCUACUUUGGCCAUAAAGUCUUUACGUUUCUCCAUGAUUUCUUUAUUCAAAAUCUAGUUUUCUUGAUUUCUUCAUGACUUCCUUUUUCGUGUUACAGGGCGAUAUAUAUUGUGGAAGCUGUGGCCAGAUUUAUCAAGGACAUUUUGCUUUUUGUUUUACAGGUGAGAGAUGCUAUGAAUGUACCGUGGUAUUUGAAAGUUAUGGUUAACAUUAUGAAGGAGAUGCUUUAGUUUAAAACAUUGGAUUAAUUAGUCACGUUUGCUCUCUCGUGGAUGUACUUGUUUUGGGGUGUCCUAAGAUGUGAAAAGUAGCAUUUAUGAUUUUUGUGUUUAGAAUUACGUGUUUAUGUGUGUUCAGUAUUUAUGGUUCUAUAUUACAUGUCCACCUCUUGGAUAAUUGAGACGUGCGUUUGUUUUGUAGAGUGAAGUAUGAUAUGUGUGUUCAGUAUUUAUGGUUCUAUAUUACAUGUCCACCUCUUGGAUAAUUGAGACGUGCGUUUGUUUUGUAGAGUGAAGUAUGAAUGUCUAGAAUGUUUAGAGUUUUGCACAAUGAAGUUUGAAUAUCAAUGUUUGGAGAUAUUUGAUGCAAUGGAGAAGAAAGUAGAGUUCGUUUUAAUCAAAU